rnacentral:rRNA from 1 species
UACGUAGGGGGCAAGCGUUGUCCGGAAUCAUUGGGCGUAAAGCGCGUGUAGGCGGUUCGGUAAGUCGGCUGUGAAAGUCCAGGGCUCAACCCUGGGAUGCCGGUCGAUACUGCCGGACUAGAGUUCGGAAGAGGCGAGUGGAAUUCCUGGUGUAGCGGUGAAAUGCGCAGAUAUCAGGAAGAACACCUAUGGCGAAAGCAGCUCUCUGGGACGGUACUGACGCUGAGACGCGAAAGCGUGGGGAGCGAACAGG